rnacentral:rRNA from 1 species
CUCGUAGGCGGCCAACUAAGUCGGACGUGAAAUCCCUCGGCUUAACCGGGGAACUGCGUCCGAUACUGGAUGGCUAGAGUUCGGGAGAGGGAUGCGGAAUUCCAGGUGUAGCGGUGAAAUGCGUAGAUAUCUGGAGGAACACCGGUGGCGAAGGCGGCAUCCUGGACCGACACUGACGCUGAGGAGCGAAAGCCAGGGGAAGCAAACG